UUUGUUCGCUCGGCUCGAGUUA
rnacentral:miRNA from 1 species